GCUGCAGUAGCUCAGCGCCAGAGCCCCGGUCUUGUAAGCCGAACGCCGAAGGUUAAAAUCCUUCCUACAGCA
rnacentral:tRNA from 1 species